GAUGAACGCUAGCGGCAGGCCUAAUACAUGCAAGUCGGACGGGAUCCAUUGAUAGCUUGCUAUCAAUGGUGAGAGUGGCGCACGGGUGCGUAACGCGUGAGCAACCUGCCUCCAUCAGGGGGAUAGCCUCUCGAAAGAGAGAUUAACACCGCAUAAUAUCAACAGUUCGCAUGUUCAGUUGAUUAAAUAUUUAUAGGAUGGAGAUGGGCUCGCGUGACAUUAGCUAGUUGGUAGGGUAACGGCUUACCAAGGCGACGAUGUCUAGGGGCUCUGAGAGGAGAAUCCCCCACACUGGUACUGAGACACGGACCAGAAUCCUACGGGAGGCAGCAGUAAGGAAGAUUGGUCAAUGGGCGGAAGCCUGAACCAGCCAUGCCGCGUGCAGGAUGACUGCCCUAUGGGUUGUAAACUGCUUUUGUCCAGGAAUAAACCUAAAUACGAGUAUUUAGCUGAAUGUACUGGAAGAAUAAGGAUCGGCUAACUCCGUG
rnacentral:rRNA from 1 species